rnacentral:tRNA from 1 species
GCGGGUGUAGCACAAUGGUAGUGCGUCGGCCUUCCAAGCCGCCCACGACGGUCCGAUUCCGUUCACCCGCUCCA